rnacentral:rRNA from 1 species
GACGAACGCUGGCGGCGUGCUUAACACAUGCAAGUCGAACGGAAAGGCCUGCUUUCCCUUGUGGAUUGCGGGUACUCGAGUGGCGAACGGGUGAGUAACACGUGAGUGAUCUGCCCCCAACUUGGGUAUAAGCCUGGGAAACUGGGUCUAAUUCCCGAUAGGACUGCAGGGUGGUGCCUGUGGUGGAAAACGAUUUUCUAGUGGUUGGGGAUGAGCUCGCGGCCUAUCAGCUUGUUGGUGGGGUAAUGGCCUACCAAGGCGGCGACGGGUAGCCGGCCUGGGAGGGUGGACGGGCACAGUGGGACUGAGAUACGGCGCAGACGCCUACGGGCGGCAGCAGUGGGGAAUAUGGCACAAUGGGCGGAAGCCUGAUGCAGCGACGCCGCGGGGGGGAUGACGGCCGUCGGGUUGUAAACUCCUUUCGACCGCGAGGAAGCCACCUGGUUGGAAGGGUGGUGACGGUAGUGGUAGAAGAAGCACCGGCUAACUACGUG